AGAGUUUGAUCCUGGCUCAGGACGAACGCUGGCGGCGUGCCUAAUACAUGCAAGUCGAACGAUAACGGCCGGAGCUUGCUCUGUCCAAACUAGUGGCGAACGGGUGAGUAACACGUGGGUAACCUGCCCGUCAGAGGGGGAUAACUUUCGGAAACGAAUGCUAAUACCGCAUAAGUCUUCAAACCGCAUGAUUUGUGCAUGAAAAGAGGCUUCGGCUUCUGCUGAUGGAUGGCCGCGCUGUGUUUUAUCUAUGUGGAGAGGUCACGUCUCCCCAGGGCCGAGAUGCAUACCACAUCUGAGAGGGAGAUCGCCCACUGUGACACAGACACACCCCCCACUCUCCUACGGGAGGCAACUAUAGGAACUCUUCCGCAGUGGACGCAUCUCUGAGAGAACCGCCCCGCGUGAGUGAAAAGUGAUUUCAUCUCAUAGCUCUCUGGUGUUAGAGAAGAACAUGUGAUAGAGUAACUGUUAUGCUGGUGACGUUUUCUACCCAAAAGGCCUCGGUUACUUCCUGCCCAGCACCCGCGGUAUACCUUAGGCCCGAAGGUUGGCCCGGAUUUAUGGGGGUUAAGGGGACGCAGGCGGUUCGAUUAGGCCUGAUGUAAAGGCUGCGGCUUCACCCUGGGAGGCUCAGUGGACAGUGUAUGACUUGUGUGCGAAAGAAGAGAGUGAAUUUCUGUGUGUAGCGGAGAAGUGCGUAUAUAUGUGGGAGCACAGGUGUGGAGAACGCCACUCUGUCGUGUGAAUGUGACUGAGACGCUCAAAAGUGUGGGAGAGCAAAGAGGAAUAGAUACUGUGGAUAGCCCGCCGUAUACACGAUGAGCGAGGUGUGUUAGACGUUUUCCGCCCUAGUGCCUGCCUAAACGCUAAGCCACCCCCCUGGGAGAGCAAGCGCGCAGGGUAAAGACUCAAGAAUUUGAGGGGGCCCCACAACGCGGGGGACAUGUGUUAUAUUUCAGACACACGAUGAAAACUUUACGAGUUUUGACUCUUUUGACGUCUUAGAGAUAGAGU
rnacentral:rRNA from 1 species